CUUGACACUGAACAUUGAGCCUUGAUGUGUAGGAUAGGUGGGAGGCUUUGAAGUGUGGACGCCAGUCUGCAUGGAGCCGACCUUGAAAUACCACCCUUUAAUGUUUGAUGUUCUAACGUUGACCCGUGAUCCGGGUUGCGGACAGUGUCUGGUGGGUAGUUUGACUGGGGCGGUCUCCUCCUAAAGAGUAACGGAGGAGCACGAAGGUUGGCUAAUCCUGGUCGGACAUCAGGAGGUUAGUGCAAUG
rnacentral:rRNA from 1 species